AGAGUUUGAUCCUGGCUCAGAUUGAACGCUGGCGGAAUGCUUUACACAUGCAAGUCGAACGGCAGCACGGGUGCUUGCACCUGGUGGCGAGUGGCGAACGGGUGAGUAAUGCACCGGAACGUACCCUGUAAUGGGGGAUAACACAUCGAAAGGUGUGCUAAUACCGCAUACGCCCUGAGGGGGAAAGCGGGGGAUCGUAAGACCUCGCGUUAUUGGAGCGGCCGAUGCCGGAUUAGCUAGUUGGUGGGGUAAAGGCCCACCAAGGCGACGAUCCGUAGCUGGUCUGAGAGGACGACCAGCCACACUGGGACUGAGACACGGCCCAGACUCCUACGGGAGGCAGCAGUGGGGAAUUUUGGACAAUGGGGGAAACCCUGAUCCAGCCAUUCCGCGUGAGUGAAGAAGGCCUUCGGGUUGUAAAGCUCUUUCGCAAGGAAAGAAAACUUAUCUACUAAUACUAGGUGAGGUUGACGGUACCUUGAUAAGAAGCACCGGCUAACUACGUGCCAGCAGCCGCGGUAAUACGUAGGGUGCGAGCGUUAAUCGGAAUUACUGGGCGUAAAGCGUGCGCAGGCGGUUCGACAAGUCUGAUGUGAAAUCCCCGGGCUCAACCUGGGAACUGCGUUGGAAACUGUCGGGCUAGAGUGUAGAAGAGGGGGGUAGAAUUCCACGUGUAGCAGUGAAAUGCGUAGAGAUGUGGAGGAAUACCGAUGGCGAAGGCAGCCCCCUGGGCUAACACUGACGCUCAUGCACGAAAGCGUGGGGAGCAAACAGGACUAGAUACCCUGGUAGUCCACGCCCUAAACGAUGUCUACUAGUUGUUGGAGGAGUAAAAUCCUUUAGUAACGCAGCUAACGCGUGAAGUAGACCGCCUGGGGAGUACGGUCGCAAGAUUAAAACUCAAAGGAAUUGACGG
rnacentral:rRNA from 1 species